rnacentral:lncRNA from 1 species
AUGUGUCUCACAGCACAUUGUGGUUGCAUCAAGCGCUGUGUGGUGGUACCAAGCCUGAUUGCAGUCCCAUGGGAGCAUGAGGCACUGCUGAAGAAGGGCUGUGAGCGUGAGGUGGCAGUGCUGUGGUUGCAGAAAGAGAAGCACGUGGAGGUGGAGAUGAGUUUUGGGAUGAAACCUUCUGUAAUAUCUGACAAGACCACACACUGCUGCCAGGAUUGCUGCUCUCAACCAGACAGGGGACUCGGAGCAUGGAGGAAAGUCUACAGCUCCAAUAUGCCCUGUAAAAGGUAUGAAGAGGGAUUGAAGGACAGGAAUAGUGCUGGGACUCAGAGGACUGAGGCACCUUUUCUUAAGGUGAAGAGGAUUCUGUAGAUCUAAUGGAGACAGUGCUGAGUAGGGCAUGCAGCCUCUUUGCUGUGUAAAUGAACACAACAAUGCAGUGUCCUUUAACAAUGAGUGUGUAGCUUCAUGCUAAGGAUCCUUCAACGGGGGAUCCUGACCCUGUCUUCCACUUGCUCCUGCCCUGUGCAGGGUGCUGCUGCCUCUGCUCUCAUAUCUGGUGUGUCCAGGAGUGGUGAAAGUGAGCUAUCUAAGAAAAAAAUAGAUAAAAUACAGCAAGAAGUGCAUAGUAAAAUAGAUGGGCAGUAGGUCAUUUUAUAGCUCUUUCUUAGCUAAGCUGGUGCAAAUGAAAGGAAUAAUCAGCUCUUGGGGACAGGAGAUGGCAGGGAGGAGGGUGGAUUGUGAAGGCAGGGGAGAAAACUCAAUCAAUGCUGCUACCAAAGUAUUAGAAACAUUAUCAUACACCCUUAAGUAACUGGAAUGGGAUUCAUCUAACUUGUCAAAAAGAGAGGUGUGCAUACGGGCACCAGGCACAUCUGUGGAGUAUCCUAUGCCAUGUGGUAAAUCAGCUCCUGGCUGCCUGAGUUGCUCUUUCUAUCCUUUGUGAGGGAGUCCAGAUGCCCAGCUGACCCAGGUGACUAACUUAGCUAAAGUGAGCUCAGAUUAAUGCUAUUCUUACUCUUCAAUUAGGUUAUUGUCUGAGUUUACAAAUAAAUCCAUAAACUAGUUUGAUUAUGAACA